ACAGGCAAAGGGAGAGGCAAGAGUGAACUGAACAGCACAUGUGGCCCUAAAGAGGCUGAAAUUCCCUUACUACACCCUGAUAUCAGGGGACUGACUGAUUAUCCUGGGCUCUGACCUCUUGCUUGUGCCAUUUGGCCCUGGCACUGCCAGGCAGCUGCGAUCUAAGCCGAACCAUGGAAACCACUCUCCCUUAAUAGCCAAGUGCAGGUGGUGCUUAACAACAUCACGGAUUUGCCAGGUCUGUUUGCCUCAGUGCUGAUUCCUGGCGGUUUCUUCGAUGCCUCCAUCAGAGCAUCACAAGCCAGGCAUUGGGGAGGACGUUCCAGAGACGAGUGAUUAGUUAUGAGUGACAUCCAGAGACUUCAAAGUGCAAGACCUGAACGUUUUCUGAGCCACAGCCACUGUGAGCCGACAGUAGCAGCUGUAAAGCGGCCAGGGCAGAGAACCACAGCUUUCCAGAGCCCUGGAAAAUGCCAAGAGCUGGUGCACAGAGCCAGGUUAAGCCAUGGCAGCCAGAGAGAAACCAGACAGGAAUGAAUCGCUCAAACAUCUUGGCUCUGCAGGCUUAGAGAAUAAAGCCCAGGACCAAAAAUAAAACUAAGAGUGUAACUUCACUGAAGACCACAAUGGACA